CGAAAACAUAAACCGAAAACAUAGGACGAUUGAGGCGUGUUGGGUAAUUUUCUUUUAUUGGUGGCACCCUUAGGCGUAGCUUUUGGGUCAUUCAGUAGUAGCCGCGGCUCGCAUAGGUGAGAAUCAUAAUUCACCACUCUCUGUUCUGCAAUGGCCAAGAUCGAAGAACUGAACGAGUCCGUGGCUAAAUCAAGAACCAAGAGGAAUCACGUCUCAACCAGAUUCUUCGUCUUUGUUGAUUACCUUUUCAUUUUGAUCUUCCUUGGAUUCCUCUGCUUCAUCAUUUUCAAGAUUCUCGGCAUUUGAUUCGAUUCGAUUCCCAAUCCCCCGUGCUUUCUGAGCUAGGAUAUUCGUGUGACAUAGUUAUGAUUCCAUUACAGACCUAGGUACAAGCUUGAAGGCAGGGUCAACUAGCAAGUACAAUUUUUUUCUCAGAUCUUAUGUUGUAAAACUUGAAUUUUCUCAGAUCCAGUUUUCCUCUAAAAACUUUACACUGUUCAUUUUCCCUAGCUAUUGUCUUCCAUUUGUUUCUUGUUUAUUACAUUUAUCUUUUCAUAUAUGAUUUCCACUUUCACUUCCUUUUUCCUUGAAUGUGGUAAGAAGGAUGACAACUAAGAUCAAUAUCAAAGUACACUGCAUUAAAAGCUGAUAGUGAUGGCAGAGUAAUUUCCCUUUUCUUUGCCAACUAUUUAUUACAUUUUCUGAGGGGGACCUGGGGAUAUAGACUACGUGACUAUGUGUUAUUAUUAUCCACUUUCUGUUUGUGGUUGGUGGAUUUGGAUGAGGUAGAGCAGCAGAGUGAAGACCCCAAACUGCCAUUUUGCAUGCGACACACUUACCAGUGAUUUGGUGUGGACGCUUGCAAAUUGAUGAUACACCAACUUUGCAUUUAUGUGAGGCAUUUUUAUCCUUGUUGUUAUGUCCUAAUUAUAAAAUCGAGAUGUUUUAAAAACAUAAAACAUAUAUUUGCUGGGGGGGGGGGGGGGGGGAAAUGAUGAAUCUUGCCAUUUUCAAGCGAUUAACAGAAGAGGAUUUUUCUUUGGUCUGAGUUUCAUGCAUUGGGAGAUCAAACAUGACCUUGUUGCAUUUAGAAAAAUUUAACAUGAUAUAGGUGGUUAGAAAGAUUCAUGUUAGGCAUAUGGACUAGUUUUAUCUUGUCCGUACAGAGCUUAACACAAUUGAUUUCUUUGUUUGAGGUUUGGGAUUAGCUAUGAUUACAUUUAAAUGAGAUGAAGUUAAUGAAAAUGGACACAGGAUAUAAAACAAUCGAGAGUUAUGUGUAAUUUGUGAAGCAUCUACCAUGUUCAAAGAGAAGUUUUAUUGUAUUCUUUUUUGAAGUAAUGAAUGUUGGACUUUUAACGGAAAAGAGAAAAAGUUGAAACUGGCAAAAUAAAAUGCACAUGCUAAGAUGAAUGUGUGAUGAUACAAGAAAUUAUACGAUACAGCAUAAUUUGUAUUCAAUGAGAUAUUGAUGUUGAGAUGAUGAUAACAAAGAUUAGAAAAUAAGUAAAAGUAGUUUAGAUAUAUGCAAAGAAAGCUGCUAAAAGUAUUUUUUGAGAAGAGUAGAUUGUAUGAUUUUUAUCCCUGUAAAAGUAAGUGGGAUCAUGAAAAUAUCAGAG
rnacentral:sRNA from 1 species